AACAACGUUAGCGGAGGAGGGCUGUCUCUGGCUUUUGUCGACGACUCUGGAAAGACGGCGUCGUCGCCUCGGAUCGUGCACCAGUUCCGCGGGCAUGACAGCCCACGUGGGCGCCACAUGGCCACGUCACUGCCGAUGAACGUGCCGGACUGGAGCAAGAUUCUCCGGGUCGACUCGGUGGACUCGCUGUACGAGUUCGACGACGGAAUGGACAGCAGCAACGACCCGGAGAUGAUCCCCCCGCACGAGUACCUGGCGCGUGAGUACACGCGCGGCGCGACGUCGGUGUUCGAGGGGGUUGGCCGGACGUUGAAGGGCCGGG
rnacentral:lncRNA from 1 species